CGGAGGAAGAUGAGGCUGAAGAUCGGGUUCAUCUUACGCAGUUUGCUGGUGGUGGGAAGCUUCCUGGGGCUCGUGGUCCUCUGGUCUUCCCUGUCCUCGCGACCCGACGACCCGAGCCCACUGAGCAGGAUGAGGUUUCACAGGUCUUGCAACCUGGUGAGAAAAACACAUGUUAUCAAACCUUUGCAAAUAUACAAAUACAAUUGUGCUAUGAAAGAAACACAUGAAUACACUUGUGUUCUGAAGGAAAACCUUGGGAGGAUGAAGAUGUUUAGAGCUACUGGAUCAUGUCCUCUAUAAGAAUUGGAAAGAAGUCCAUGUCUAUGAGAGCAAAGGGAAGGUGGUGUGGGAUGAAUUUGAUAGACCCUGAACCAGGCAUUCGUGAUAAAACAUUUAUCUUUUAACUAAUUUAGCAAUAAGGAGAAAAAAGAAGCUUCCCUCAAUGUGUGUUGUGAGCAAGUGUUUGCUGGUCCACCUAGUGAAAGUGCUUACCUCUAAGCCUGCAUUUGAAACUCCCUCCUGCCUCCUCAGAUAACCCCCAGAACACACAAAAUAAAUAAAUAAAAUGUAAUUCAGAAUGUU
rnacentral:lncRNA from 1 species